rnacentral:rRNA from 1 species
AGUUUGAUCCUGGCUCAGGAUGAACGCUAGCGACAGGCUUAACACAUGCAAGUCGAGGGGCAGCAGGAGCGAAGCAAUUCGCUUGCUGGCGACCGGCGCACGGGUGAGUAACACGUAUGCAACCUGCCCCCGGCUGGGGCAUAAGCGGUAGAAAUGCCGUCUAAUUCCCCAUGCCGCGUCAGAGGGACAUCCCUUUGGCGCGAAAGGAGAAAUCCGGCCGGGGAUGGGCAUGCGGCGCAUUAGGCAGUUGGCGGUGCAACGGACCACCAAACCGACGAUGCGUAGGGGUUCUGAGAGGAAGGCCCCCCACACUGGUACUGAGACACGGACCAGACUCCUACGGGAGGCAGCAGUGAGGAAUAUUGGUCAAUGGGCGAGAGCCUGAACCAGCCAAGUCGCGUGAGGGAAGACGGCCCUACGGGUUGUAAACCUCUUUUGCCGGGGAGCAAAGGCGCCCACGCGUGGGUGUUCGAGAGUACCCGGAGAAAAAGCAUCGGCUAACUCCGUGCCAGCAGCCGCGGUAAUACGGAGGAUGCGAGCGUUAUCCGGAUUUAUUGGGUUUAAAGGGUGCGUAGGCGGGCGGCCAAGUCGGCGGUGAAAGCCCGGGGCUCAACCCCGGCGAGCCGUCGAAACUGGCCGUCUUGAGUGGGCGAGAAGCGCGCGGAAUUCGUGGUGUAGCGGUGAAAUGCAUAGAUAUCACGAAGAACUCCGAUUGCGAAGGCAGCGCGCCGGCGCCCUACUGACGCUGAGGCACGAAAGCGUGGGGGAUCGAACAGGAUUAGAUACCCUGGUAGUCCACGCAGUAAACGAUGAGCGCCAGCUGUCCGGCCCGAUUGGGGGCUGGGUGGCACAGCGAAAGCGUUAAGCGCUCCACCUGGGGAGUACGCCGGCAACGGUGAAACUCAAAGGAAUUGACGGGGGGCCCGCACAAGCGGAGGAACAUGUGGUUUAAUUCGAUGAUACGCGAGGAACCUUACCCGGGCUCAAACGCGGCGGCGAGAUUUUUGAAAGGAGGUCGUAGGCCAGCAAUGGCCAACCGUCGCGAGGUGCUGCAUGGUUGUCGUCAGCUCGAGCCGUGAGGUGUCGGCUUAAGUGCCAUAACGAGCGCAACCCCCAUUGCCAGUUGCCAGCAGGCAAAGCUGGGCACUCUGGCGAGACUGCCAGCGCAAGCUGUGAGGAAGGCGGGGAUGACGUCAAAUCAGCACGGCCCUUACGUCCGGGGCGACACACGUGUUACAAUGGGGAGUACAGAGCGAGGCGAGCCGGCGACGGCGAGCGGACCGCGGAAAGCCCCCCCCAGUUCGGAUCGGAGUCUGCAACCCGACUCCGUGAAGCUGGAUUCGCUAGUAAUCGCGCAUCAGCCAUGGCGCGGUAAAAACGUUCCCGGGCCUUGUACUCACCGCCC